UGAGGAAUAUUGGUCAAUGGGCGGAAGCCUGAACCAGCCAUGCCGCGUGAAGGACUAAGGCCCCAUGGGUCGUAAACUUCUUUAGACGCAGAGCAAUAAGGGUCUCGUGAGAUCCGAUGAGAGUAUGCGUAGAAUAAGCAUCGGCUAACUCCGUGCCAGCAGCCGCGGUAAUACGGGGGAUGCGAGCGUUAUCCGGAUUUAUUGGGUUUAAAGGGUGCGUAGGCGGAAGUGCAAGUCAGCGGUGAAAUCCCCGCGCUCAACGCGGGAGUUGCCGUUGAUACUGUACAUCUGGAAUGCUCGAGUGCGUGCGAGGAAGGCGGAAUGCGUUGUGUAGCGGUGAAAUGCAUAGAUAUGACGCAGAACUCCGAUUGCGAAGGCAGCUUUCCAGCGCGCUACUGACGCUGAGGGCACGAAAGC
rnacentral:rRNA from 1 species